CUGAAGAGUGAUAGACGUCAGAAGUCAUUCAUUUCUUUGAUUGUGUUAUUUCAGGUGUAUUAUGGAUGAUACAGUUAUGGCUUACCCAAGCGUUUCCACAAAGUAUGACUUUCAGAUCCAAGCUUUCAAGUUCACAGGAGGCUUUGAUGAGGUGUACAUUAGCUGCUCCGUGAUCCUGUGUGCAACAGAUAGCUUAAACUCCAGAUGUGCCCAAGGCUGCCUAAGUCAAGCUGCACGCAGACGUAGACGAGAUGUGAGCCAAGAAACUGCCAGGCACUACAUCACCCAGGGUCCCUUGCGUGUGGCACGACAGACUCAUAAUGCUGCAUCAAAUGACGGUGGAUUUCUACACAUCAGCACAAGCACCGGGGUCUUUGCAGGACUCUUUGUUGUCUCCAUUGCGGUGUUGGUGGGGAUGUUGGUAUAUAAUGUCAGAAGAACAAGACCUAUUGACCGCAUGCAUCUACUGUCCACUUUCUGAGAUCCUUUAGUGGCCAGUUUGAGUAGACGCACAAGAAACUACAUCCUUUCAGACUAUAAAUUGAAGUUAAAGUCUUUCCAGUUUCUAGCGUAUCUCAUACAUGAGCAGUAAAUGAACAGUUUUAAUGGUAAAUGGUAUAAUCGCACAACAAUGAUCUUUGGUGUGGCUGGUAUUGUCCUAAUUCUUUCAGCAUAUCAUCUUUUUUUCCCACUUAUUUCCUUCUUCACUUUCAGACAACAUGCCUCACUGAACAUAACACACUUAUCAGGAUGUAUAAUUAUUGGAGAAACGUGAACUUUUACUCAGUCUCACAGUACUGAGAAUGAGAUUUACAGUGCUGUUGGAAGAACAUGAGCUUUACGCUGCUGUUGGAAGAACAUAAACAUUUACAAAUGAAUGUUGGUUUUAAAAUAAAAUGCACA
rnacentral:lncRNA from 1 species